rnacentral:rRNA from 1 species
AGAGUUUGAUCCUGGCUCAGGAUGAACGCUGGCGGCGUGCCUAAUACAUGCAAGUCGAGCGAACAGAUAAGGAGCUUGCUCCUUUGACGUUAGCGGCGGACGGGUGAGUAACACGUGGAUAACCUACCUAUAAGACUGGGAUAACUUCGGGAAACCGGAGCUAAUACCGGAUAACAUAUUGAACCGCAUGGUUCAAUAGUGAAAGGCGGCUUUGCUGUCAYUUAUAGAUGGAUCCGCGCCGUAUUAGCUAGUUGGUAAGGUAACGGCUUACCAAGGCAACGAUACGUAGCCGMCCUGAGAGGGUGAUCGGCCACACUGGAACUGAGACACGGUCCAGACUCCUACGGGAGGCAGCAGUAGGGAAUCUUCCGCAAUGGGCGAAAGCCUGACGGAGCAACGCCGCGUGAGUGAUGAAGGUCUUCGGAUCGUAAAACUCUGUUAUCAGGGAAGAACAAAUGUGUAAGUAACUGUGCACAUCUUGACGGUACCUGAUCAGAAAGCCACGGCUAACUACGUGCCAGCAGCCGCGGUAAUAC